rnacentral:rRNA from 1 species
CAGUCGCCGCGGGAAUACAGAGGGUGCGAGCGUUAAUCGGAUUUACUGGGCGUAAAGCGUGCGUAGGCGGCUUUUUAAGUCGGAUGUGAAAUCCCUGAGCUUAACUUAGGAAUUGCAUUCGAUACUGGGAAGCUAGAGUAUGGGAGAGGAUGGUAGAAUUCCAGGUGUAGCGGUGAAAUGCGUAGAGAUCUGGAGGAAUACCGAUGGCGAAGGCGGCCCCCUGGGCCUGUACUGACGCUCAUGCACGAAAGCGUGGGGAGCAAACAGGAUUAGAUACCCGGGUAGUCCCUGUCUCUUAUAC